UUUUUUCCUCCCCUUUUCUUUCUGUUACCAUUAUGAACACAUUGCAUUUACAUAAUUUGUUUUGUGGUUUACAAAGCACUGCUGUAAUAGCAUUUCUUGAGUGUCUGUUGCAUGUUGGGCAGUGUUUUAAACGUCAUGCAUGCAUAUACCCUAUAAGGUGGACAUUGCCCACUUCACGUUGAGGCUCCGAGAAUGAUAACUCGCCAGAGGUCACAGAGAUAGUAAGUUUCAGAGCCAGAAUUAGGACUCAUGACUACAUGGCUCUAAAUGCUAUGGUGUUUUCACCCUGCUAUGCAUUCUGCUUCCCCCCUACAGCCUCCUUGUGAUGUGGGCAAAGCUCAGAGCAUGCCUAUUUUACACAUGAGGAAACAGGCACAGAGUUUGUCAUUAGCCCAAGUGAAAUAGUAAUGUUCACUUGAGAUGUCUUUGGGAAUGUGUGAACCUCUUUGAGGGACAUCAAAGAAUGUAAGGAGAGAAUGUGUGUUUAAUUUUAUAUAUUGAUAGCUUAAGCUGUGAAAAUAAUAAAACUUACAGAAAGAUACAGAGAACAACUAUUAUUUCAAUUUAGUUGGCCCUUGAACAACGUGGGUUUGAACUGUGUGGGUCCAUUUAUCUGCAGGCUUUUGUCAAUGAUAAAUACUGCAGCACUGCACGAUCUGCUCUGCUACUUGGUUUAAUGCGUGGAUGCGAACCACAGAGGAACCGCAUAUACAGAGGACGAACUGAGGGGGUUCACUGCCUUGUCAUGACUAAAGCUGUUUCUUGUGACUGCUGAUUAAUCUUUAUUACUUACUGCUUUAUUAUACACUGGAUCACAUCUUUAAGUUCUGGGUCAGGCACCUUGAGAGAGAAGUGGCUGCUUCUCAUGCGACAGCCUUGA